AAAAAAAAAACAAACAGAUUGUUGGAUUGAUAGUAAGAUGACAGAAUUUAUCAGAACCAACAUGGCACAUAUCGGAGGACUACAAUGAUUGGUAUACUAUGCUGAAAAUGUUAGCAUCAUAGGUUCGCAUUUGCCACUAUUUUAUAUUGACUUGUACUGGACAGCUUGUUGCUUAUUCUUCAUUAUGUUAAUUUCAUUCCGACUUGGAUGGAGCUUCUUCAUCUGCAA
rnacentral:misc_RNA from 1 species